AGAGUCCAGCAGGGGAGGCACGCCUACCUCCAUCCCUGGUCCUGGCCAGUUAAUGGAUGGGUUAAGUGUCCUAGCUUGUCAAUUUAAUGGUGUGUGUGUACUGUCCUCUGAAGAAAUUGUCUUUAGUCCCAUUUAAUAACAAGCAAGAUGGUUCAUCAGUAAGGGUGCUUGCCACCAAAACUGACACUUGAAUUCAGUCCCUGGAACCUACUUGGUAGAAGAGGACUGACUCCUGAAAGCUGUCCUCUCACCGCCACAGGCAUGUGCUUGCCGUCCUACAUGCACAGGAAAAAGGAGCAAAGAGCCACGCAAUGAAUGAGCUAUGGUACAGUGUUCUCUCCAAAAUGUCUGCAGUUUGCAACUGUAGUUACAGCUCUUCUUCACAGGAAUCAACAUCAAACUCGACGCAAGUUAACUUUACAGUACUGAAUAAUGCGACUCAGAUUCGAGGACAAAUGUGCAGAGAUGGUAACGUGUGAAAACUGUGGCCUCUGACGCCAUCACAGGGAUGACGUCAGGUUCGUAAGCAGAUUCUCCCGUACAGUUGAAACGGCAUCGUGUGCAUCCGUGGCAUGAACUGAAGUCUAGAAGCGUUGUCUCUCAUCUGUGGUACCCUCCCUGCGGUUCUCCAGUACCACUCAGUUUCCUUUGCAGUUACAGAAUUCGGGGGGUAGGUGGGGGGACGUGGGAAAGCAAGCCACUGGCAUUUUAACAACUGCACCCCUGCUGGUGGACCUAGCUUUUCAGAUGAGAUCUCCUGCCCGCACGUGACAACUGCUUGCUCCCAGACGGCCUAGGCAACUAGUCUUUCCUACUCUGGUCUCUUUUGAAGCAGGUACAAUUUCCGUGAUAGUGCUUUUCCCAGUGGAGAAAUUAUUUGGCUAAACUCAUACACUCAACUCGUGGCAGUGCUCUGGGAAAACCCCACUGGGGCUAAAGCACUUACAAGGACUAAGGACUAAGUCCGCUAAGUGGGGCAGAGACCAAACACCCAGAGGGCUGAGUUGAAACCCACCGGGAACACGCUGGCCCUGGUGUCCCACGGUCAGCAGGACAGCAGGACAGCCCAGGGCAGGCAACUCAUAGCUGAGUUGCCACUUUUAGUCUCUGCCUGCCGUCAAUGCCCCAGAGACAAAAAUUCAGAUGUGGUGACAGCUGGUUAAUUAAGCUUUUGAACUGGUAAAAAAGGCUCUUU
rnacentral:lncRNA from 1 species